CUGUGCUAAGCGGGGAGGUAGCGGUGCCCUGUACUCGCAAUCCGCUAUAGCGAGGCUGAAGUCCCGUUUGAGGCCGGCUCUUGUGAGGUCUGCCUCAGGUAAGUGGCGUUGAAGGUUGGGUCCUGCGCGGCAGGGCUUUAUGAACCCCGUCAGGUCCGGAAGGAAGCAGCGGUAAGUAAAAUCCCCUGGGUGCCGCAGGAGUGCCUGGCCGGAGCAAACUGCCUGAGUAACGCUCGGAAGGACUAUGGUCGAGAACGGGUGCACAG
rnacentral:SRP_RNA from 1 species